GAAAUUGGAUCGUACCGUGAUUGGUCUGAAGGCCAACGACAGGAGUGGCUUUUAUCCGAACUCAGGGGAAAGAGGCCUUUAUUUGGUUCUGAUCUUCCCCAAACUGAGGAAAUUGCUGAUGUUUUGAAUACAUUUCAUGUCAUAGCAGAGCUUCCUGAAGAUAACUUUGGGGCCUAUAUUAUCUCGAUGGCAACUUCUCCAUCUGAUGUGC
rnacentral:misc_RNA from 1 species